GUUACAACAGAAUGCCACAAUCAUAAAACAAAACAUAAAGAAAAAAAUGAAAUGACUCCUGUUCAAAAAUCUACAUACCCUUAGUUCUUAAUGCUCUGUAUUGCCACCUUUAGCAUCAAUUAGAGCGUGCAGUCGUUUGUAAUAGCUGAGGCCCCUAAUUCUUGCAGUUGGUAUAGUUGCCCAUUCGUCUUGGCAAAAUGCCUCCAGGUCAUGCAAAGUCUUUGGUCGUCAUGACCUGCACAUUUCAGAUCUCCCCAGAGUGGCUUGAUGAUAUCAAGGUCAGGAGUCUGUGAUGGCCAUUCCAGCACCUUCACCUUUUUCUGUUGUAACCACUGAAGGGUCAACUUGGCUGCCAAUGGUAACCUUAUGAUUUUUUCCUACUCUGGGUGAUAGGCCAGUGGAACAAAUGGAUGUGCUUUGCUUGUACCUGAAGCCAGGGCCGAUCCUUGGGGGGUUGCAGAUGCAUAUGUGAUCUGUAGAGAUGCAGGGUGUUCGGCGCAGUCUGCACCCCCCAAGGAUCGACCAUGCCUGUAGCAUGCUUUGCCCCAAGCAAUGGAAGCUGCCUUGUCUGUAAUCCUAGUUCCUCCCGGCUAUUCAGGCAGAAGACCUUUUAACAGAAGUUGAUACCUUCCUUGCUGUAUCUGUACUGUUAUCAAUGCUUUUCAUUCUUAACAGGUGCCAGGGUCACAAAGGCAGGGGUCUUGAGUACAUUAUAGGCUAUGGGGCCAAAGGAACCACCAUCCGGUAAAAAAUAAAGAGGGGGCAAAAUGCAGAUAUUUGUUACGGAGAAAUCAAC